UCUUCAACGAUAUCACGCGCUGACCGCAAGGGUGGGAUUGUCGUCCUUGCAGCACCUCCGCGCGCGCGCGCGCGCCCACUGACCGGCUUUGACGACCUUCCGAGGCAACGCGAUGCCCCGCCUCAUUGGCUGAAGAAGCAGACGGGUGUGGAACGUUAUUUCUCAACGUGUACAAUAAAAUGACAGACCUCUCUGGAGAAAGAUGCAAGAUGUGAAUGAAUUAAAUUGGAGUUCAGGAGGAUGUGAGAAACUGGAUGUGAGAAGCUGGCAUACAGGAUUAAGGUAUCAAUAAAACUUUCAAAUGUAAAACCAGGAGAGAAUCAGAUAGCUGUAGAAUGCUGCUUUUUCUGAAUGUUAAUAAAAAUAUUACUGCCCUACUGAAACUGGAUAUA